AGACCCGAAACCCGGUGAUCUAGCCAUGGGCAGGUUGAAGGUUGGGUAACACUAACUGGAGGACCGAACCGACUAAUGUUGAAAAAUUAGCGGAUGACCUGUGGCUGGGGGUGAAAGGCCAAUCAAACCGGGAGAUAGCUGGUUCUCCCCGAAAGCUAUUUAGGUAGCGCCUCGUGAAUUCAUCUCCGGGGGUAGAGCACUGUUUCGGCUAGGGGGCCAUCCCGGCUUACCAACCCGAUGCAAACUGCGAAUACCGGAGAAUGUUAUCACGGGAGACACACGGCGGGUGCUAACGUCCGUCGUGAAGAGGGAAACAACCCAGACCGCCAGCUAAGGUCCCAAAGUCAUGGUUAAGUGGGAAACGAUGUGGGAAGGCCCAGACAGCCAGGAUGUUGGCUUAGAAGCAGCCAUCAUUUAAAGAAAGCGUAAUAGCUCACUGGUCGAGUCGGCCUGCGCGGAAGAUGUAACGGGGCUAAACCAUGCACCGAAGCUGCGGCAGCGACACUGUGUGUUGUUGGGUAGGGGAGCGUUCUGUAAGCCUGUGAAGGUGUGUCGUGAGGCAUGCUGGAGGUAUCAGAAGUGCGAAUGCUGACAUAAGUAACGAUAAAGCGGGUGAAAAGCCCGCUCGCCGGAAGACCAAGGGUUCCUGUCCAACGUUAAUCGGGGCAGGGUGAGUCGACCCCUAAGGCGAGGCCGAAAGGCGUAGUCGAUGGGAAACGGGUUAAUAUUCCCGUACUUGGUGUUACUGCGAAGGGGGGACGGAGAAGGCUAUGUUGGCCGGGCGACGGUUGUCCCGGUUUAAGCGUGUAGGUGUGUGUUCCAGGUAAAUCCGGUUCACUUUAACACUGAGGCGUGACGACGAGGCACUACGGUGCUGAAGCAACAAAUGCCCUGCUUCCAGGAAAAGCCUCUAAGCAUCAGGUAACAUCAAAUCGUACCCCAAACCGACACAGGUGGUCAGGUAGAGAAUACCAAGGCGCUUGAGAGAACUCGGGUGAAGGAACUAGGCAAAAUGGUGCCGUAACUUCGGGAGAAGGCACGCUGACACGUAGGUGAAGUGAUUUACUCAUGGAGCUGAAGUCAGUCGAAGAUACCAGCUGGCUGCAACUGUUUAUUAAAAACACAGCACUGUGCAAACACGAAAGUGGACGUAUACGGUGUGACGCCUGCCCGGUGCCGGAAGGUUAAUUGAUGGGGUCAGCGCAAGCGAAGCUCCUGAUCGAAGCCCCGGUAAACGGCGGCCGUAACUAUAACGGUCCUAAGGUAGCGAAAUUCCUUGUCGGGUAAGUUCCGACCUGCACGAAUGGCGUAAUGAUGGCCAGGCUGUCUCCACCCGAGACUCAGUGAAAUUGAACUCGCUGUGAAGAUGCAGUGUACCCGCGGCAAGACGGAAAGACCCCGUGAACCUUUACUAUAGCUUGACACUGAACAUUGAGCCUUGAUGUGUAGGAUAGGUGGGAGGCUUUGAAGUGUGGACGCCAGUCUGCAUGGAGCCGACCUUGAAAUACCACCCUUUAAUGUUUGAUGUUCUAACGUGGACCCGUUACCCGGGUUGCGGACAGUGUCUGGUGGGUAGUUUGACUGGGGCGGUCUCCUCCUAAAGAGUAACGGAGGAGCACGAAGGUUGGCUAAU
rnacentral:rRNA from 1 species